CUCAGGGAGCGGGGUCCCUUAGCCUGGAUCGCGAGAGGGUGCAGGCCAGGCCAAGGGCCCCCACCAGUGCACA
rnacentral:pre_miRNA from 1 species